rnacentral:rRNA from 1 species
CGUACACUCCUGCGGGAGGCAGCAGUGGGGAAUUUUGGACAAUGGGCGAAAGCCUGAUCCAGCCAUGCCGCGUGCAGGAUGAAGGCCUUCGGGUUGUAAACUGCUUUUGUACGGAACGAAACGGCCUUUUCUAAUAAAGAGGGCUAAUGACGGUACCGUAAGAAUAAGCACCGGCUAACUACGUGCCAGCAGCCGCGGUAAUACGUAGGGUGCAAGCGUUAAUCGGAAUUACUGGGCGUAAAGCGUGCGCAGGCGGUUAUGUAAGACAGUUGUGAAAUCCCCGGGCUCAACCUGGGAACUGCAUCUGUGACUGCAUAGCUAGAGUACGGUAGAGGGGGAUGGAAUUCCGCGUGUAGCAGUGAAAUGCGUAGAUAUGCGGAGGAACACCGAUGGCGAAGGCAAUCCCCUGGACCUGUACUGACGCUCAUGCACGAAAGCGUGGGGAGCAAACAGGAUUAGAUACCCCGGUAGUCCCA